rnacentral:lncRNA from 1 species
CUUAAGUGUGCCUACUCGAUGAUGGCGGUGCUGUGCGCGUCUGCCGACAGAAAAACACGGCGUUGUAGCGGGGACGGGGUAACACCACUGUACAUCAUAACUGUUACGUGUUUACCGUUUGUAGAUUCACUUUAGAUGGGACGCGUACAACUGGUAUUCUGGUACUUCCCUGCCGUCUGAUUACGGCCCUAUUCCGGAACACUAGCACUGAGGGUUCCGUUCCAGUAGGCCGGCAUUACUUUCACAGACACCUCCAGAAAAGACUCGUUUCAGGUGCCCCCUUCAGGCUGCGUCUCCGCUUGGCUAUGCGACAGCCAAUUUUACGUUACAUAUCAACCGUGCAGAUCUAUGGUUUCAUUGUGGGGAAAAUUGCCUGCACUAGCUUGGUUGUUCGCACACGUGGAAACCGUUCCUGAUUCUCAAAGUUCCAUAAGCGGCGACAAGGUAUCGAGAAACAUUUAGAAGGCCUUUGUGGUCGUUAAUAUCAAAUGCAUCAAUCGGAGUGGCCGGUGACUCUACGUCUUCACUGAACUCUGCUGCGGAAGUGGGUAGUUGCACACCGUGGGUUCAUUAACCAUUGCUAUCGGUCUCGAGCCGGCAUUAAAAGGCGGUGACAGCUUUGUGAACACACAAGGCAGAUUGAAUGCAGGCUUGUAACAUCAUGGAUGGUUGCUUAAGCUACGCAAAGCGUGGUGCCAUCACGUGAGCGGUGCCGUUGUUCUUAAGUGUUUCCUCACACAUGCAGUGAGUGUCCAUAUCCUGGUUAUGGAGAUGUGCAGCAUCUCGUUACUUAAUAUGGUCAUGGGGUUAGGUGUGCAAGGGUAUAUGUCACUCUACCUGGGGAUCCGCUGGUUCAGGGGUCCGGCACAUCUACGCGGGUAUCCAGAAAUGGUGGUCAAUGUGACUUCGGGGGCCGAAAAAAAACUGCAGGGCAGAAACACUACGCCCCGUACUGUAGCG